rnacentral:lncRNA from 1 species
CCAACUGCUCUGUUUCCGAGCCUUCCAUGAAAUGAGUGAUGAAUCCAGGAAAACACUAUCCCGUUAUGGUCUUCUUGGACAUUGGGGAAGACGCCAAUUUGCAUGACAAAGGCCUGAGCUGGAAAUAAUUCUGAGUAGGAUAAAAUAGACUCUUAGAAGGACAACCGUUGUGGUAUCUCAAUAUAUGCAAGGCAACAUCCCAGCAAGUUUUGUGAGGGGCUUGCAUGAAUUGAUUAAGUACGUGAGUAGGACAGUAAAUACCAUGCUUGGUGAGACCUAGGUAGAUGUGUUGUCCAACUCCAACGAGUCUUCUAUAUUUAUCUAGAUCCUGGAACAACUCCCCCCAACUUCAUUAUCCAACUUUUAACACUUUAAGUAGUGCAAAUGUUGCAGGUUUAGCAUCAGUAAUCUAUCAUCCUAUAUUAUAGCAGUAACAUACUUCCUUUGGUUUAAAACAUGCUAGAAGGAGAUCUUGCAGUCUUAAGGCCUAGAAAGUACUUAACAUAACCAAAAUCUUUUCUUGUAAAUGGCUUGUCCAGAAGCUCUUUCAUUGCCAAGAUAAUAGUUUCAGUAGCCCCAGUAGCAAGAAUAUCAGCAACAUAUAUUAUUAGAACCAAAAAAUGAACCAAGCUCCUUCGGCCAAAAGGUAGUGAUCAAAGACAGAUUGGUGAAAGCUAUAUUGCUAUAACUUCAUAUCAGCUCCUUGUUCCAUUCUCUAUCAGCUUAUUUAAAAUCUUAAAGACUUCUAGUGAGCCUACAAACUUGACCUUUUAAUGCUUUAGUAUAGCCCUCUAAAGGUAGCCUAAAGAUGUCUUCAUCAAAGUAGCCAUGCAAAUAAGCAUUGUCGAUAUUAAAUUUAUGAAUAGGCCAUUGGAACUUGGUUCCAAUAGCUAAGAAAAUUUUAACAGUAAACAGUUUCAGCCACAAGUGUUGUUAAACUCCCAUAUUGGUUUGAGAUAGGGAAUCUGGUCCUUGCAAAGUUUUGGGCACUCUUCCCCCCUUCCUGAGCUAUCUUUAAGGCUAAGUUAGGCCCAACUCAUUUCUUAAGAUGGUAUUAGUAUUAGAGCAUCCAAUAUCGGGCCUCCCACAAGUCUUUCACGCUCUAAGUGUUUGGCCCUGACAUGAGGGGAAUGUAUUAAAUUCUCACAUUGUUUUGGAAUAAGGAUAAUGUGCCCCUUAUAAAGUGUUAGGCUCUUCUCUUCCAUCAAGCUAGCUUUUGAGAGUAAGUGAUCCUGGCUCAUUUUCUUAAGAAGUAAAAAACUGUCAUUGUAGUCUAUUCUAGGCAAUUGGUUCUAUCCUUUUGCAACCAGCCUAUCCCUGUGUGUAUCUAUGUUGCCAACUAGCUUGUCUUUAGCGUUGUACACCCAUUUGCUGACCAUUGCCUUCUUAGUUCUUACCUUCUGGCAAUUCAGUGAGAAACUAAACAUUAUUCUUUUCCGAUGCCACCAAUUCAUUCUGCAUGACAUGUACCCAUUUACUAUCCCAUUUAAUAUCCCAUUUAGCUCAAUGACAAGAUUUUGGCUCAAUAGCAGUAGGUACAUUAGCCAUGAAAUAUAUGUGAUCAUAAUUAAAAUGAAAAGGAGUCAAAAGUUUAGGUGAAGCAGAAAGGACCACAGUCCUGCAGACUUUAAAGGGUUGUAAUCGUUUCAUGAUAUACUUGGUUCGACUGUAGUAUAAGUAGGAGUAAAUUGAGAAACAUUGGUACAUUUUGAUACUGUAAUACAAGCAAUAUGCGUGUUAUUGUUUGAUAGGUCUAAGCCUGCCUUUAUUUCAUCAGUAGCUAGCACUUUGUCGGUCAUUAGGUCCAGCAGGACAUAAUGAUAGUAGGAUAUGUUUAAAACUAAGAGCGUAAAAGACUAAUUUUAAAUGUAAUGCAUGGAUUAAAAUCACAUCUCCACUAUACAGGACAGGUUUGGUUGAGCCAUCUAGUAGUGUAAUUAUUUUUUUUAGUUUGUAUGGAUUGUGAAGAAGGCUAAAGUCAUGACACAUAUGAGAUGUGCCACUUGUUCUACCAUCCAUGUGCCUUUAUCCUUUAUCAUUUUUGCUAAAAGAGUAGUAAUUAAGUGCUCUAAAGUAUUUAGUAAGAGAGAAGAUAAGAAAAAGGAGGAACUAGGAAGAGGCAAAACCACAAAGGGUUGUCGAUAUCUAUAUUCUUACAUGAUACAUAACCUAUAGUUAUAAACUUAUAAUGAAAACUAUCAAGAUAUAGAUUGUUAAAUUCACAAAGAUGUAUCCCUUGAAAUAGGAAGAUACUUAAUCCCUAAAUUAAGGAGAAAUAUUCUUCUUAAUUUAAGAAGAAUCUCAUCAAUUCUAACAAGUACAUUACCUGCAAAGCUAGUGAAAUCCACAAAACUUGCUUCAUUAAUAGUUGGCUAAUGCCCUUUCAUGUAUUUCAUUAUUUCCUACUAGAUCAAGUGCAACUAUUCCACGUCACUUGCAUCAAUUCUUUGGGCAUUGCAAUUUGCUUCUCUGUGACAUUUGCUGCAGUAUUACUAUUUUGCUUUGCUUUUUCUUUUGAACCAUUUUGGAUGCCCAUGAAGUUUGAAACAAAUAUCUUAGGAGAGCCCAUUGGCUGUGCAAUAGGAGCGCAUCUGUUUUCUUUUUUUCUUGUCUUGUGAUUUGUUACUUGUGUUUGUAUCCUUUUGAAAUUCAAGACAGUCAUGGCAAUAAUUUUUAUUAGUAGUGCCACUGGGAACUUCCUUUGUUUCUCAACUAUUAGCACCAUUGAAUAAUGCCCUAUUGACUCUUGGUAAUAGCUCCAUUAACAAAAUUUGGUUCUUAACCUGAUCAUAUGUAUCACUUAGCCCUAUCAGAAAUUGAAUUAGCUUACCCUCAUUGUUAAUUUCAUCAAUUAACUUUGUUGUUCCACAUUCGCACACAAGUAAGGAUUGUAGAUAUGCCGACUCAUCCCAAAGUUUAUAAAGUCUAGUAAAAAAGAACAUCAAAUAAGUGUCAAAUUGACUAAGAUUACUUCUCCUGUUUUAACUGGUAUAGCAGAGGACCAUUUCUCUCACCAAAUAUCUUUUAAAUUUCUUGCCACAGAUCUUUUGCAGAUGAAGCACAUUGAAAAUCCAAGAGGAGACCACGCUUUUUGCUCUACUUGGUUUCUCAAGAGCAAAAGGACCUUUAUCAGGAAUCAGGGUGCCAGUUGAUUUUUUUUUGUAAAGGUCAGAGACCAAAUUAUACAUUCAACAAAGGAUGAAGCAAAAAGGUUAAAAGUUUAAAAUUUAACUAGGUUCAAAU